AACAACCCAAAGUUGACUAGGAGACGACGGCCUAGACCUCUCACAAACUCGCACAGCAUCCUCCAUGCGCCUUAUCCUGUGGUACCUGUUCUUGACCUGUGGGGGGUGUGAGACAGCAAGAGUGAGCUCACAUACGUUCAUCACUCAACAAGUUGUGGGGAAUAAUGCGCAUGAACUCGCCAAAGGUGGGAUCUCACCUGAAGUGUAAGGCUUACCAAAGAGGAUGAUUAGAGAUGAGCAUUGCUUUUAAAGUUGGUCAAAAUUUUAUUAGCAGUUACUAAGUAUAAGUAAAUACCAACCCAAUUAAGAAGUAAUAACAUCACCUGCGAUGCAAUGCAUAUGACAAAUUGAAUUUAGUUCCAUAAAUUAAUCAUGUGAGGGUCUGAGCUGCUCAUGACCGUGAGCACGGCUAGUAUACCAGUUUUACACUCUGCAGAGGUUGCGCGUCUUUACCCACAAGUCAUGUUACCCAUCUGCCAAGGGAUCGCGACUUCCCAUACACCUCUACCGAGGAGGCGAGGCAGGGUAACACUACGAGGCCUUUACUAAGUUCCACUAGCUUUAGAAAACCCGCUACAGUUUAUAGGAAGCUCCAAUGCAGGGACCCUUCGCAUGACCUCCAUCGCAGCAAAAUCAUCCCAAGGACCUCCCCACACUGACCACUCCCCUACUGCCCUUGCCCCUUUCAGGUAAGGUAGUCUUCCACUAGCUUUCCUAAUUAAUCAGCCAAGGGCGUCCCAUUAAACCCUUGUGGUAGCACUAUUUUCCCGGGUGGUCGCUCCAUGUUCCAAUUAACAUAAUGAUCUUAUCAUGAACAGUAAUAAUAAACAGAUAAUAAAAGUGUGAUCAUGAAUAAUGUAUCUUCAUACCCAAAACCACAUAGAGCACUAGCAAGUACUACCCAAAAAGUUCAGUGGUAAACAAGGUUUAAAGAUAAAUAAACUAGGGUAACCUAUUGGGUCCCAUCAAAAUUAACAUAUGCAGAUCAUUAUGAUUAAUUAGAACAUGAGUGGGUAAAAAGAAGUGAUCAAGGGCACAACUUGCCUGGCACUUGAGAUUCCAGUUACCAGGGUGAUUCUUUGGAUACUCGAAACCUCGCUGCUAGUCGUAGCAAUGCAAACAAACAUGGUAUAGACAAAAUUAAUAGCACACCAAACAUAAGAACAUACUGUAUAAUAAUGAUCUACGCGUUGCUACGAGAUCGUGGGAACGAGAACUACUAAGAUCGGAGUUACGAUUAAGGAGUUAUGAUUUUAUAGAAGAUCUGUGUGAUUCAAAUACUAAACUAUAUUAUAAAUUGGUUAGUGUAAAUCAUAUGAGAGGUUAUUCUCUAAAUAACUAUCUCAACUUUAAUCUAGUUAUAAAUUGACCAUAAAUUAUAUUCUAGCAGAUUCUAAUGAUAAGCAAUUUAACCAGUCUAACCAACAAAAAUUAAAUAAAGAUCUAAUUAGAAAAAAAUGAGACAUGCUACAAUAAAUGUUGUUAUUGAAUAGUAAAUAUUUAUACGAGAUUAACGCAACUGGAACGAGUCAAUUCGGAUUUAAAACGAAAGGGUUAUGAAUUUCCUAAGGUUUUAUGUAUUCCAUACAAGAUUAACCAAGAGAUUAAUUUAAUACAAUUUUCAUAUCAAAACAUUGGCACUAUGUGAUGAACAAUAAUAUUAGAAGAUUAUAGGAAUUGGAAUGAGUCAAAAAGGAGUUAAAAUGUAUUUUCUAGGAAUUAUACAAGUUCUUGGAAUUAAUUUUGCAAUAAAAAUAAUUUUCUGAAUAAAUUUCUCUGUUUUACUAAGGUCUGGACUGCACGCGCUAAUAACAGAUAACUCAGGGUUUAAUAAGCAAAUGUUUCCAAGACUCAGGACCCUCCCGCGAAGGACUGCAGGUUUAUUCCCAAAAUCCUGAGGGGUUCAUACGCAAAAGACGCACGACGAAGGAGUACGGUUAUAUCCUGUCUGUUGGAUCGCCGAUCUACGGAUCAGAUUAGAUCCAAACUUUCCUGAACGGUACGCUAUAUGGGCCUUUGGAUCUAUAUCUAACGGCCACGACCACAUCGGAUGAAGGGGUAUACUGGAUUUAAUCGUGACCGCACGUUUUUAAUCGAACGCACGACACGCCCGCCAACCGUUGGAUCUCUAUCCUACGGUCCAAACACCAUCUUCAACCCUCCGCUCCUAAUCGCGACGGCAACAGGGACACACGACGGCGCCCAGCUGGGGUCGGCAAGGCCGACACCCAAGCACCAGUUUCUAAAUCCAAUCGAUCUAAACGGUCUACUCAUGGCCUCUCGUAAAAGGGACGAAGAAAACAUGAAAUCACAUGGGAGAAACCCAUACCGACGACGGGUCCGUGGCGGCAACAAUUCUGGCCAUGGUGCAGCGCAUGCCAGCCCUUCGAAGCAUGCCCAGGUUUUCCCAACCUCAGCGGCACGACGACGGACCCGUACCGGCAAGGAAACACCAUGGUCCGAGGCCAUCCAUCCCUACAUCCCGCGCUUUGAGGAAGCUCCGCAUAGGGUGUUCUAAAUCUCUCUCUCGGUCGGUGUCGUGAAGGUGUUUUGCG
rnacentral:lncRNA from 1 species